rnacentral:rRNA from 1 species
CCGGUGCUAACACACUGCAAGUCGAACGGAGCGAAUGAAAGCUUGCUUUUAUAAGCUUAUGGCAAACGGUGAGUAACACGUAGACAACCUGCCGACAGGAUGGGGACAACAUUCCGAAAGGAAUGCUAAUACCGAAUGAAGUGCAGGGGGGGCAUCUCCCCUGCAUGAAAGAUGGCCUCUGAAUAUGCUAUUACCUGUUGAUGGGUCUGCGUCUGAUUAGCUGGUAGGUGAGGUAACGGCUCACCUAGGCGACGAUCAGUAGCCGGUCUGAGAGGAUGAACGGCCACAUUGGGACUGAGACACGGCCCAGACUCCUACGGGAGGCAGCAGUGGGGAAUCUUCCGCAAUGGGCGCAAGCCUGACGGAGCAACGCCGCGUGAGUGAAGAAGGUCUUCGGAUCGUAAAGCUCUGUUGAUGGGGACGAACGUGCCUAAUGCGAAUAGUAUUAGGUAAUGACGGUACCCAUCGAGGAAGCCACGACUAACUACGUG